GUAGAGAGAGCACAUUUACUUCCCAGUAGUGGUUGUGGAGUGCACUGUGUCACUCAACAGCAUCCCUUUGGCUGGGGAAGGAACAGUGGUGCCAAGCUCCAAAUAAAGGAAAACAAAGACAUGAGGAAAGGAAAUCUAAUGCUUGACCACAUGUCUGGCCCUAAAUUGGAUGAUCAGCAAUGUGAAGACCUCUCUACUCCAGUCUCUUCCCUGGUGACUGCCAACAAAUCCAGCAGUGGGGAUGACUCUGCCUCAGCAGCCCUGGAGAAUUCAAGGGCACAACUGCAAGGUAAAUUCCAAAAAGCCUGUGGACUGAAAGUGCUCAGCUGAUCUGCAGAGGUCAUAUCCGUGCCACAGAACAUCUGGGAGCUGUGAGAAGAUGCAGUGUGGUUGAUGAAGAUGAUGUCCAGCUGUCAAAAAAACCUGUAGUAAAAAUAAUUCCAUGUAUUUUGUUUUUCCCAUGACUGGCUUGUUCUAGCUAGAACUUUUUUUAAAGGCAAAAUAGGCCAAACCCUAAACCAACACCUCCACAGCCUGAGACAGACAUUUUCUAGGAAAAUGUGCCACUCCUGCUUCAGCAGAGCUAUUCAGUGCCCAAUAGCAGCAUUUCACAUGGGGGCCCUAACUACAGGUGGUGCUCCCGUUCCCGCCUAGGGAUGCGGCAAGUGCACAGUGGCAAGCUUAGUAUUGUUACUGGAGAGCUGUACCUUGGAUUGUUUGGGGUUGCUCUAGUCUUCGGCCACAGCUCAUGAUUUCUAGUUGUCUCUUUCAGAAUAUUACAGGGAUGUAAGUACUUCAUCUUGUUAUUUUUCUCUUCCCAAAUGUAAUAUUCUCAAUACAAAUGUAAUAUUCUUUACAAAUAAGUGAAAUACAGGGUACAGGGAAUGGAUCCAAUGAUACACGAAGAUGAAUGCACCCUUUCUCAUUACUGUUUUGUGUUAGGUGCUGUGUGAAAACCCCAGGGAUGGUCACAAAAGACUUGAUUCUAAGUGGAGUGGGCAAAGGGCAGCAAAGAAAACAUAGAGGGAGAUAAGCGAGACAUAAAAAUAAUGAAACAACCAGGUAGAUACACUGGGAGUGCAGUAUUCAUGGCCUUAUGCCCAGGCAAGCGCUUAGAAACAAAAGACAUGUCCAGAUCUGAAGAGCUUUUUUCCUCUCUAAAACCCUGAAGUAGGAACAAAGUAAGCAUUAGGAUUGCACUGUGUAUAGUGACUGCUGAAACCUUCUCUGUUUCUGUGGCUCAUGAUACUCAAGUAAACCUGUUUCUGCCCUCAAGAGAUGAACCCAUUAGCAACUGAUAAUAGUGGGAGAAAUGUGUGUAGCUUUGCUCCACACUUGCCUGUUGUUGCCCUACUCCUUGAGUUCACUCCCUUGCUCCCACGCUCUUGCUGUGAUGUAUAAUUUCUACUGCUUUCAGGAUGUCUCUCCCAGAAGCUGCGCCUGUGUCUCGCGGAAGGAUUUAAGUUUCAGAAAUACCCGUUACCUCCAGUGUAAACUCCUUUAAGCACAUCCCAUCUGAUGAGGUAGUUUCUUAAAAUAGUAAUGAGAAGCAAGAAAUGCCUCUUAUGUGGCUUUUGAAAAGUUAUCUCAAGGUAUUUAAGGCACACAUGGGUUUUUGAAAGAUACGAAGAUUCUGAUAGGAGCUGGUUUUGCUUCACUUUCCCUGUUGUAUCCUGUGAAUAUUACAGAACAAUGGUAUUCCCUGAGGGAAGUACUCUGAAACCUGGACCAAAAACAUAAUGAAAAAUUCAGCAGUUGGCAUACCACUUUAAAAUAAAGAAGAAUAUUUCCUUCAUCUCUUCCGAAAUCAGUUUCCUGGGCACAUGGCACGGUGUUGUUACACUAUGUAUGCUAAUUCUAGUUAAGAAGGGGAUGAAGACAGAAAUAACUUUUGGGGAGCGAAGCCUCCCCUGUACAGCUGUCGAUGUGUCUGGUAACAGUUUGACUAGAGGCGGCCCCAGUGGAUCUUUUCCUCUCUGCUUGCCUUGAAGGUGAUGUUCGGACUGUAAGGUUGCGGCAAGGUCCCACGCUUGUUUGGAAAGGAAGACUUGCUACUGGUAUUUUACACUGCCAUGUCUUAUGGUUUGGGUUUUAUUGUUGUUGUUAUGGGGCUUGCGGGAUUUUCUUCACGUUGCACGUUUACCUUGUCUUUAUGCAUCUCUUCCUCCUAUACAAAUAUCCCACUUGUUUUGAUGGGAAAGAAUGUGGUAGAAGUACCUGCAGGCAUUGUAGAAUAGUGUCUGAACAGCUAAAUCCAAGAGUUAUACCAGUUCCUCUUUCUUUUAGUCUGCUGUAAGACUGAGCACUGUCAAUAGCUGCAAAGUAUCAGCUAUUGCCCUAGUCAAAGACGUACCUUCUCUCGCAUCAAAAUCACCAAAUGAUUUUCGGUCUAUAAGAUGUUACCGUAUCAGCACUGUUAUCCAACAAAGUUACAGAUACAAAAAAAGUGUGCUUACUGUUUAAAACACUACCGAUGUUAGUGUGGGCAGACUACCUCUACAGGUGAAUGCUUUCCAGCCAUUUUGAUCCCAGUGCAGUGAAGCAGGAAAAAUAAACUAGAUAGACUUCAUAAACUGUGAUUAAGCACGGUGCAAAAGCCUUGGGGGAAUAAGUCUCUACACCACAGUUAUACAAACAAAUUUGGCUCAUGCUAGUAGGAAAAAAGAAAGACUGGACUAAUGGAAAAAUACAUGAUGUUUUUUCUUAAAAUUAAUUUACAUGAGUGGCUUUGUUGGCCGAGCACAUGUUCAUGUGGAUGUAGGGCGUAUUAUUCCAACUCUUUCUGUAGCAUAACCACAGUGACUGCAGCACACGGUGCUAGUGCGAACAAAGUCUCGUUAACAGCCCAUGAACAAAAGCAUUUUCCUAGAAUACGCUUUCUCAUUGUUACUGUCGACCGGUUCCUGGCCUACCAAGGGAUAAGGCUAGGUAGGUACGGACAGCUUUGUAAGUAUAGAGUGAGAGUAGUAAUCGAAGUGUGCUAGAAGUGUAUCAUAUAAUUAAAAAGAGUGCGUGGGACAGAGUUAAUUUUGUGACCCUUUUUUCUUGAUUACUGAUGAACUGGAAGGCAGUGUCUUAUAUAGUAGAUUACAGGUUGUUAAAUACCACCCAUUCUACUUCUAUCUAUGUUCUCCAUCCUUUUUGUUCUCUUAAAGCCAGCACUCUGAGAGGCUGUCACACUGAGCUGGCUUCCUCCACUAAGCAGGACUCGCUGCAUUUUUCCUUAACCUCCAUUAGCAUCCUAUUUUUGUCAGAUCCAACAUAAAUACUGCUCUCUUGAUGGACUCAGCUGAAUUUAUCUUUCUGAUCUUAUAGACAUUUAUCUUCUUAGCUAUUAAGCUACUCAACCUUUAUUUUCUUUCUGUCCCAUUCUCUCGUGUUAUCAAUUCAUCUACUGGGAGCUUUCUCCUAGAACAAAAGCACUUUUCUUAAUACUACUGUACAACUUUUUAUUUUCCUCUUGACAUUCUCCGGGAAGGGUUUUUGGAUCUACAUGAGCAAAAAAUUCAUACAAAUUCCAUAUACACUUCUACGAAAUGCUGAGACUACACUUCACUGGAAUUUGAAGAACAUCUUGAUCUUUUGGCAAAAAGAAAAUUACUGUAAAGGCUUGACAGUCACAUGGAUGGAUGUGAACAAAGUUCACCGCGGGUAACUCUGGCCCUGUUUCUGCACCUUCCCCGCACGGGAGCGGGGGAAGCCGGGAAGCAGCGCAUCGCCCGGGAUGGGGGCGACUGCGAGCCUUGGCUCAGGUACCCGCUCCCCUUCGUACCGAGUCGGUAUCCUCCUGACAUCGACUUCAAACUCAAGGGCUUAUCUUGGCCCCUUCGCGGGUCAGGCCGCCCGGGAGCUGACG